AUGGCCAUACCAUGCUGAAUAUACUCGUUAGAUCACCGAAGUCAAGCAUCAUUGGGCGCGGUCAGUAUUUGGGUGGGUGACCACCUGGGAACACCGCGUGCCGCUG
rnacentral:rRNA from 1 species